UCCCCCUGGCAAUGGGCAGAGACGUCUUCUUGGUGGUGAUGUUCUUAUAUCAGCCAGGGGCAGAGCAGAUAAGAGUCCUUUGUUCAUCUAGCUUGAUGACUGGUUUGGUGGCCAACAAUGUUUUAUGCGUAGGACUUGUAA